AUGGCGUCGGGCCUGGUGACGGAGGACGUGACGGUGGGGCGGCUGGUCCGGAUCCGGCGCACGGUGAUGCACAUGCUGCGCGACCGGGGCUACCUGGUGGUGGAGCACGAGCUGUCCAUGACCCGCCGCGACUUCCAGCGCAAGUACGGCGAGUCCUUCCACCGCGAGGACAUGCUCAUCAACAAGUGCAAGAAGAACGACCCCAACGACCAGAUAUACGUGUUCUUCCCUAACGACGAGAAGGUGGGGAUGAAGCACAUCAAGAAGUAUGUUGAAAUGAUGAACGCCGAGAAAGUCUCCAGGGCUAUAUUGGUUGUGCAACAGAACCUCACCCCAUUUGCAAAAUCGUUUCUCCAAGAACUGGAGCCAAAGAUCCACUUGGAGGUUUUCCAGGAUGCCGAAAUGCUUAUAAAUAUCAAGGAACAUGUUCUUGUUCCGGAGCAUCAAGUGCUUGCUAAUGAGGAAAAGAAGACGUUAUUGGCGCGGUACACUUUAAAGGAAACUCAGCUACCAAGAAUACAAAUUACGGAUCCCAUUGCGAGGUACUACGGCCUCAAACGAGGGCAAGUUGUGAAGAUCAUCAGGCCCAGCGAGACAGCCGGCAGAUACGUCACAUAUCGCUAUGUUGUAUGA
rnacentral:rRNA from 1 species